rnacentral:rRNA from 1 species
CCUACGGGUGGCAGCAGUGGGGAAUAUUGCACAAUGGGGGAAACCCUGAUGCAGCGACGCCGCGUGAGUGAAGAAGUAAUUCGUUAUGUAAAGCUCUAUCAGCAGGGAAGAAAAUGACGGUACCUGAGCAAGAAGCCCCGGCUAACUACGUGCCAGCAGCCGCGGUAAUACGUAGGGGGCAAGCGUUAUCCGGAUUUACUGGGUGUAAAGGGAGCGUAGACGGCAGUGCAAGUCUGGAGUGAAAGGCGGGGGCGCAACCCCGGGACUGCUCUGGAAACUGUACGGCUGGAGUGCAGGAGAGGUAAGUGGAAUUCCUAGUGUAGCGGUGAAAUGCGUAGAUAUUAGGAGGAACACCAGCGGCGAAGGCGGCUUACUGGACUGUAACUGACGUUGAGGCUCGAAAGCGUGGGGAGCAAACAGGAUUAGAUACCCGAGUAGUC